rnacentral:rRNA from 1 species
UACAGAGGGGGCAAGCGUUGUUCGGAAUUACUGGGCGUAAAGGGCGCGCAGGCGGCCUGCUAAGUCGAACGUGAAAUCCCUGGGCUCAACCCAGGAACUGCGUCCGAUACUGGUUGGCUUGAAUCCGGGAGAGGGAUGUGGAAUUCCAGGUGUAGCGGUGAAAUGCGUAGAUAUCGAGAGGAACACCUGCGGCGAAGGCGGGUAGCUGGGCCGACACUGACGCUGAGGCGCGAAAGCCAGGGGAGCGAACGGG